GCUUGAGACAAAUUCAGCUAAGAUGGAGCGUUUAACACUCUUUGUCUCCAUUUUCUGUGUUCUUUUUGUUUACGCUGAGGCGUUUUGUUGGCCUGAGGGUAGAGGAAAUGGGUACUAUUGUAAAUACAAGAACAAGCAUCUGCGCAAGGGCGAAAGUUACUUUAAUGCAACGGGUCCAUUCUGUUUAAACUGCACGUGUUCUGAAGAUGCAUACACGUUAAAUUGUUGCAGGUGAGUACACGUACUUCCUUAAAAACAAACAACAUUAAUUAACACAGUAAAUAUAAUCAAUAUUUUCUUUGAUAAUAUGCUAUAUAUUAUAUCAAAAAGACUUUGUCAUGUUUCUUCGCCUUAAAACUGUAAUGGUUACUGGUUACAGUUAUAACUCUAUAAACUGCAUGGUGUUAACGUUUCCAUUUUAGAAUUCACGUUCAAGCAUUGGUACUAGUAUAUAAACGUUCUUGGCUUUACAGUCUGAUUACAUCAUCUUUCUUCUUACACUUGUUGGGGUCUUAAAGGUAAUGAUACAUGUAGGUCAUUUUCACACGACCGCUACAUUUGCAUGCAGUCAAAAUAUACCCCGAUUUAUCUGACACAAACAUACUUUUAUCUGCUAUAUGAAAGCUAAAUCUCUUCAACAGCGAAAGUUACAUUAAAAUAUUAACAUUUUCCAGAGUCUUUGCCUGUGAUAACACUACGUAUCGAUUUUGUACUAUAAAAUCUAUAACUUCAAAUAACGUAUAAUUGAGGCGCCAGCGCGGUUUGGUUAUUUAUAUUUUAUAUAAAAUUAUAUAAAUAUAAGUAAUACGGAACCAUUCUUUGAAUAUUAUGAGGUGAUAAUUUCGGGGGGGGGGGGGGGGGGGGGCGUGAUCAAAUCUAUCCAAAAACCCUUCGGGCUUUAUUGGAUUUUAUCACGCCCCGACCAAAAUUAUCAGCUCAUAAAACUCAAAGAAUGAAUCCUUAUUCCUUAAUGAAUUAUAUUACUGGUAGGCUUAUCAAAAAAACCAAACGGCAAAUAAAGCUUCGUUCUUAGCACCUGUCAUUGUGAUCAUUUAUACAAAGGUGUAUAACUCUAAUAAUUCGGUAUCACUUUUUUGUAAACAAAAUCAAAGUGUCAACAAAAUCAAAGUGUAAAUUGAUAAAGACAAGUAGGAAAAAUAGAUUGAAAAAUAACGCGGAGUUCAUUUUUUUGUGUCAAGUUAAAUCAAUUUUCUUCAGUAUCAGCAGUGCCACCAAAAUGACGACAUAUGUGACGUAAUCAAGUUAAACAAAGGGAAGCUAGCCCUUGUUGUUGCUAGACAGAGGCCAUAUACAAACAGUAUAUAUACAGAGGCUUAUGGCAAAGCAAGUUUCAUUUGUCAGUGAUGUUCAUUAAAACUUUGAUACAACGGAAAUUAAUGACUCAUUAAAUAUAUGGAGUUUAAUAAAUCAUUAAAUAUUGAUACAACCGGAUCCAGAUUACUAAAAAUAGCAACAAAAUGAUAAUGUUAAGCUCAAACUGUGUCUAGGUCCCUUUAAAAAAAUGUACACAAAUUUUUAUAUUUACCUUUUUUCUUUCUAUUUCAGCAUUGGCAUUAAUAUCUUCAUUCUUCCAAACGACUGUGAGAGAAAACAGGUUGGAUGCAACCAGGAAGCUGUUAGCAAGGCCGACCCAAGCAAACCUUGUAAUGGCCCAGUACUUAGCUUCGCAUAAAAUUGUUUGCAAAAAAACCCCCAAGUUAAUCACUCUGGUUCUUAUCUUUUGCCUAUUAUUUCUAAUGUGAACUUUUUUUGGAAAUUGGUAAUAAAUUGUAUCUUAAGAUUUAGGCUCGCAGUUGCACAUUUUCUUCCAGUUUAUAAUCAAUUAUAUAUGAAGCAAUUUUUAUUUAUAAUUUAUAUAUUAAAUCUUUGUAAACAUUG
rnacentral:misc_RNA from 1 species